GUGAUAUAGAAAGCAUGUCUUGUGAGAAGUUAUAGAAUAUGGUAGAGCAUCUAUAUGAGGAUAAAGUUAUAAUGUUAUUUUGUAGGGUGUCCAUUUUGAAUGGUAAGCAAGGAAUGAGGAUCUUGUUUGAAGAUAGUCAGCAUAUAGAGGUGAUAGAGCUUGCAUUGGAUACAAUGGAGAUUUUUCAUAUUUAUGUGGAACACGAAGAGGUAGUUGAUGAAGCAGUCAAUGUAUCAGUUAGUGAAGUAGUCAAUAUUUCGGUCAAUGAAGCAGUCAAUGUAUCAGUCAGUGAAGCAGUUAAUUUACCAGUUAAUUAAGCAGUUCAAGAGGGAGGAGAAAGAGUUCAGGUUGGAAAAAAGAGUGAGAAAAGAGUAGCACAGAAAUAAACUAAAAAAGGGAGCAAUGGAAAGCAGAGAGUAGCAGAGAGACCUAGGGCUUGAAGCAAAGGAAAGAAGAAAGUAGCAGAGGCACGUAGGGCUCGAAAGGGUGUAGUUUCUUCGGAUUAAGACUACAGUCCAAAUGCUGACAAUGAAGAUGCUGAGAGCGAAGACAACUAUUACACAAAUGUUGAACUAUUAAUAGAUGAUGAGGAGUUGAUAGAUGCAAAGAGAGUAGUGAAGGAAGCAAGAAUUAGAAUAAGAAUAUGGUUGAUGAGGUUCAGAGGAGCAGCCACCACUUAUGAAUGUGAGUAUAGGACCAAGCCAUUAGAGUGUUACUUUGGAUGAAGUAGAAGAAGAUACCGGAUACUACAGUGUGUAUCUUGAUUCUUUAGAGUUUGAUACCCCUAGAUUGACAUGAGGGAUGUCAAGUUUUGUGAAGGUAUGACUUUCAAUACAAUAGAGGAAUUCAAAGAUGUUGUGGUCAAGUACAGUGUUGCUUAGAGGUAUGAUCUGAGGUUUAACAAGAAUGAGGUCAAUAGAACAGAGGGCAGAUGCACAUUCAGGGGUUGUCCAUUUAGCCUAUGGUAUUCAUUUGAGAACCCUAUAGAUAAAUUUCAAAUUAAGACUUGUGUAGGAGAGCAUAGAUUUGUUAGGACUUAUAAGACUAUGCAAUGACUGCCAAGUGGAUUGCAAUAGAGUUUCUAGAGAAGUUGAGGGUAUGUCCUACUUAUAAGCCAAGGAAGAUGAAGCAUGAUAUCAGGACCAAAUAUGAAGUUGAUGUAACUAUGUCCAAGUGUUGGAGGGCAAGGCAAAUAGCACUGGAGAAGAUUAGAGAGUCUCAUCAUAAGCAUUAUGCCAGACUAUAUGAUUAUUGUAAGGAGCUUAGGAGCAACAAUGGCACUAUAGUGAUCUUGAAGGUUGAUAGGACUAAUGAUGGAGUGUAGUUCUAGAGGUUGUACAUAGGGUUUGAAGCACUUAGAAGGGGCUUCUUCGUAGCCUCCAAGCCCAUUUUUGGGAUUGAUGGAUGUUUUCUAAAAUGGAUUUGUAAGGGUGAGCUGCUAGCUUCCAUUGAUAGAGAUGCCAACAAUCAGAUAUUCCCAAUUGCAUGGGCUUUGGUUGAGUGGAAUGCAAAGACUCCUGGCUUGGUCCAUUCAUCUUUUGUUUGAGCAUCUAGGGCUUGGAAACAGGCUAGGUUGGUCAGUUAUUAGUGACCAACAAAAGGUAGUAUACACUUUAGCUACUUACUAAUUUUAUUAUUUUCAAACUUUAACUUUUAUUACAUAUUUAUAUGUAGGGUUUCACACAACAGUUAGUGAAUUGUUACCACAUGCCAAGCACAGGCAUUAUGCAAGUCACAUAUAUGGAAAUUGGAGGAAGAGGUAUAAAGGUGAAGUUCUAAAGUCCGCCUUCUUUAAGAUUUCAAAAUCCCCCAAAGAAGGGAACUUCCUUGAUGUCGUGGAUGAGCUAAAAGGCUAGGGCUAUCAGAGAAGGCAUAGAGAAACUUCAUAGAGGUAAACCCAAGAAACUUGGGAAGGCCUUCUUUAGUGCCUUUCCACAGUGUGAUGUUAUUGACAAUAAUAUGUCAGAGACAUUCAACUCAUCCAUAAUGAGGGAAAGGAAGAAGCUGGUGAUUGAGCAUGGAAGAGGGAGGACAUUGAGAAUUGCCAUGGAAGAAUAUGCCCUUGGAUUCAAGAAGAACUUGAGAGGAAUAAGGCUGAAUGUAGGUGGUGUGAGGUAAUAUAUAAUGGAGAUAGGAAGUAUGAAGUGACAUACAAGAGGCAGUCUUAUGAAGUUAGUUUGUUGGAUAGCAGAUGUGCUUGCAGUGCUUGAAAUCUAACAAGUAUACCAUACAUUCAUACCAUUUCUGCAAUAUAGCAUAAGAAUGAUGUUGUUGAGGAUUACGUAUCAGAGUGUUAUACCAAAGACACUUAGAGAAGGUGCUGAAUUUGUUCUUCAACCUGUCAAUGGGGAAACGUUGUGGCUUAGGAUUGGCGUAAUGGCAAUGGUAUGUCCACCUAUGAGGGUAAUGACAGGUAGGCCCAAAAAAAAUAGAAGGAAGGACCCACAUGAGGAUUCCAAAAAUCCUCCCAAGCUUUCUGGAGCUGGAAGGCAUAUGACAUAUCAUAAAAGGCAAGUAUGCCCUAAGAGCAGUGAGGCAUCAUCAAGUGUUUUAACUCAUGAUCUACCACCAAAGAGACCUAGAGGCAAGCCAAUAAAAACCUAGGAUACAACCAAUGGGCUUAACAAAAGAAGGCAAGUAAAGCUGUCCAUAAGGAGAAGGAUUCAAGGCAAUGAGUGGCAGUAGCAUGAGCAAGGCUCCGGUGAAACCAGAACAGGUUAAAGAAAGAAAGGUUAACAGUGUGAUAAGGGCUCUAUGUGUCACCUAAUACUGGGAAUUUUUUUUUUUUUUGGUAAGAUUCAUAUCCAUUUGCUCCUCUCUGCCACCUGAAUAUGCUAAUACAAAUGCACAUUCUCACAGGGAUUAGGUAGGGUGAGGCAUUUGAUUGGGGAAGGUGGAAGCUCUACUGCAAGGGGUUUACUAAAAAAUCAUUUAGAUGCCAGAAGAAACAUGGUCAUUGGUGAAUCUAAUCAGCCUAUUUCUUCUCAGCCAAGCACUCAGGGAAGCAGUGUUGGGAGGACCAACAUGUAGGAUCAGUGUGUUGAAUAGUCUUGGGGGAACCAACUUUUGGAACGGUUACUGGAUCAAUAUGCUUUCAGUGUGCUGCCAAUGGAUGUUGCUUUGUUCUAUCUCUAGAUGUUAAGUUCUGUCAUUGGGUGUUUGUUUUCCAUGCUUGUUUUCGAGCAGUGCAUUAGACACUGUUAGAUAGUGUAUUAUAGGUUCAAAGGAAGACUAUGAGACACUACUGUCAAUAAAUAUUUUAUAAUUUGUCUGUAUUUUGUUAGACACUGUUGUCUAUGUAUAUUAUAAGUUCAAUGUUGGACAAUGUGUUAGACAUUUGUUUGUACUUUGUUUUAAAAUUUCAAUGGAAGAAUGAGUUUUAUAAGUUCAAUUUGUUGUUCAUACUGUUAGGUAGCAGCAGCAUGAGGUUUUAGAGCUCAUACCAUUUAUGAGUUUAAUGAGUAAUAAACUGAGUUCAACUUGUUGUUCAAUUGAGUUCAACUUGUUCUACAAUGAGUUUUCGAUUGAGCUCUGUUAAGACAGCUGCAACAUGAAACUGAGCUUUAGAGCUCAUUCACAAAGUUUUAAUUAAGCUCAUACUUUGCUGUUGAGUUUUAGAGCUUAGUCCCAAAGUUUUAGAUCUCCGAAAUUGAGCUCAAUUUCAAUGUUUUAGAGUUCUACAACUAAGCUUAGUCUCAAAGUUUCAAGCUUUGAAACUGAACUCGGUCUCAAAGUUUCAAAGCUCUGAAACUACCCUCUGAUUCAAUGUUUUAGGGUUCUAAAACUGAGCUCUCGCAAAGUUUCAAUUGAGCUCAUACUUUUCUAUUGAGUUUUAAAUCUCAAUCUCAAACGAACUCAUGCUUUUUUAUUGAGUUUUAGAGCUCAAUCUCAAAGUUUCAGAGCUUUAAAUCUGAGCUUAGUCUCAAAGUUUCAGAGCUUUGAAACUGAGCUUAGUUUCAAUGUCUCAGAGUUUUGAAAUUAAUCUCAAUUUCCAUGUUUUAAUUCUGAAAUUAAGCUGUGAAACUAAGCUUAAUUUCACCUACCUUUUGGCCAAAAUAAAUGUUUCAAAGUUUCAGUGCUCUAGUUCUAAAGUUUCAAAGUUUCAAUUGACAUGGACUCCUUUGAACUCUCUUCAGUCUCUAUGUUUGACUAGCUUUUCAGCUUAACUUUCUAAUUCCUGAGGUGUUAGCUUGCUCACCAAGAAUGUUUGUAUAUAUCAAUUACAUCCUAGAGGCACCCACCAAAGCUUUCAACAUUCAAAAGCCACUUUGAGUUGUUUGGUUUGAGCUACUGAAGUCUCAAAUCUUCCUGAGUUAUUUUGAAUUGGUAGGAAAAUUAACCUAAGGCAUAGCUUGUGCUGACAAAAUCAAGAGAUAAGAAGCAAGGAGGAUCGAGGAACAUUCUCAUCAUGUAUAUAUGAUUGAUGCAUCUCUUUACUUCUCUGUAGUAACAUUACAUGUAAUGCAGUCAAACAGUUUCAGCCAAAAACUGUGUAAUAACAUUACAUAUAAAGUUCUCUAUGCAUAAAGUUAUACAUGAUGCUGCUCUCUGUGAAAACAUGUCAAACUGUUACAUUACAUAUAAAGUUGAUCACAAAAUUGAAUACAAAACAUUUAUUACACAGCCAACUUACAAAAUCAUAACAUAAAAUAUGUCAAACUAUUACAUUACAUAUAAAGUUGAUCAGAAUAUAGAACAUUUAUUACACAGCCGGCUUUCGAAAUCAUAACAUAAUCACAGAUGUGUUCUUCACUCAAAACAUAAGCAUGAAAGCAUUAUUGCAAUCAUACAUAAGUUUUCCCUUGCAGCAUACCCAGCACAUUCAACCUUCACCCUUGCUAUCUCCAUUUUUAUGUCUGUAGCCUCUCCUUUUAAAACCUCUGCUUUUUCUAACAAACCGAUGGCCUCUCCUUUCAGUUCUGACACAUUUUUUUUUAAAACCAGAAUUUUCUCCUUUAUACCUUCCAAUAAUUGCAGAUAAUUUUCGCACCUCAGUUUUCACAUCUUUAGCUUCAUCCCUUUUUCGAGGAGAGCUAGUUCUGCUCAAUCCUUUAUUUCAGGAUCAACCAAUGUAGAGUACUUGCAAUAUGAAUCGUUCUGCAACAACAACAAUUACCCACAAAGAUCCCAAACAAACAAUAUAGAUUUUAGAUAUGAGGCUGAUCACACUCACCUGAUAGUUUGGACAAUCCCUAAACUUUUGUCUACAAUUGUCAUCGCUCCAUGAAGUCCAUAUUUUAGGUAUAAAGAUGUGCUUGCAUUGCCUUAGACCUUCAUAGCUUUCCGUUAAGUUGCUAUAGAUUGGAGACUAACGUAUUGACAUUCCAACUCUCCUAGAUGCCAUGUCUUUCAAAUAAGCUUUAGAUCAAUGCUCUAUGUGAUAUCUAGAUAUCGCUGGUCUCCGGACUCCAGUUGAUGAAUGUAACGAGGGAAAUGGAAAGUAGAAAUCCUAAUCGAAAGAUGGGAAAGGAGGGGAGGAGUUUAGGGCAACCUUUUCCAUGUCAGCAACUCAUCGUGGCUGUCAAACAUAAAUUAUAAUAAAGAAAUUACAAUAUUUUGAAAGUUGGAUGGAAUGAAAGUUAAGAAUAAAAAUGAAAUCAUGCAAAGCCUAGGAUUUUUACCGUAAUUAAGCCCUACACAAUUACGAGCAUUUUGACAUAUGAGCUACUGUAUGAUACCGACAUUACGCAAAAGUUCGUUAUCCACGGCAUCUCCAACCGCUCUCCUUGUUACGGACUCGCGCCUCUGUGCUUUUUCUGGAAGCCUCUCCAAAACCCUUGGACGCGGUUUCCGGGGAUUGAUCCUCGAUCUCGGUAAUUCCAGUUGAUUUGAACGGUACGAUUUGCGAAUAAUCGCAUCAAAACCUUCUCGAUUCAUUCUUUUUGUCUUGUGAUUUCUUUUUGAUCUUCUUCAGCUGAAGGAAAAUGGUUGUCAUCAAGCCGGAAGCGGAGGAGGGAGAGAGCAAAGAAGCGCCGGAGAGCCUGCCGGAGCCGAGAGGUACGGAGUCUUUGGUGGUCCCAACGGAGGAAGGAGCCGGCAGCGAGGACGAAGCUUUUGAGGACGCUCUGACCGACGAGCAGUUGAAAGAGCUUUCUUAGUCUCAUGCUCUUUGUUUAGAGAUUCUUCAAUUACAAAUUGGCUGUCUCUGGUGGUCCUGCAAAGUACCAUGGCAUCUAUAAUCUAUAUUCCUUUUUCGCAACUCUGUUCCACUUUUGGGUUUUCCAACAUCUGCCAUUGCAUUGUUAAAAUUUCUUAGCAUUGUUUUUUAUUUUGUGCUUAUUAUUUCUCAGUUGUUCCAUCCUGUAGGAUUAGUAU